AUGCUCAUCCACAACCCCGUGUUCUACUCCGGGACCCUCCCUCCCCAUGCGACAUCAAGCACCCACCGAAUCUACGACGGCAAUGUUCUCCCCGGGACGUCAGACUUCGACGCCGGCUGGGUGGCCGGACCGGACGGCUCAUCCUUCCACCGCUUCACCGCGCAUCCAGAGCCAACGCUCCAGGACCUCAUCACCGGAGCCGUCACCACAUUGCCUCCCUUCCCGGAGGACAACCAUGGCAUCGUGCAGCGGAUGAAGAGGAAUCAUGGCGUUGUCUACGGCGAUGGCACAAUUUUUCUGUAUAGCUUUGUUAAUGAGCCAGCCCCCGAGGGCCGUUUGUACAUGCCCGUCUUCACUGCAGCCAUCAUGCGUCUAGGUGACACGGUAUGGACGGUCUUGGAAAGGAGGCUGAAUUCGCUGCCGCGAUCCGAUAAUUGCGCCGCAUAUCACGACGGCAAGGUCCUAGUGUGGGUGGGUACAGACCGUUGGUGCAUCGUGACGCAAGAUUCCAAAUCCAAUGCUGGUGACAUAAACUUCAUCAAUCUUGAGAUGACGGAUGAUACACGCAAGGAUAGACGGUACAUGCGCACCGACAACUAUGUCUUCGCGUCCCGGGGUGAGCUGUUAGUGAUGGUGCAUGCACUGGAAGAAGAAGCAGACGGCAACAUGCGAUGGGUGGAGAGGGAUGGUCGGAGCUUCGAUGAUCGUGUCUUGUUCCUCGGGUUCCCUGGGAGCUUCACCGCGGAUGCUACCCGGCUAGGCAUGGACGGCGGGUGUGCCUACUUUGUCAACCGUCAUCGCUUGUUCAGUUACAACCUGUUCAACGGUGAAAUCAAAGCAUUGGAAUCUCCGUUUAUUGGAUGGAUUCCCCCCAAUGCGCAUGUGUGGCUCCGGCCCCAACCUAUAGUUGCUCCCGUCCAGGGAAUGCAAGAAAGACUUAGCCUCCAUACACACAAGAACAAGCCAACUUUGAUUCGCUUGGGGGGGGGGGUCUGGUCCGGGGUGGGAGCCUACGGCUAUGACCACGGCUCCGUGGUUGCGGGUGAUGAAGGCCUCAAAAAUCUUGCGGCGCCGGGCAGCCUUGGUGCGCAAGGGCUCAAUAUUGGCAUAGGAGAGGAAGGAUGCAAUGGCGAUGAGUUCAGACCUCGCCUAUGGAUGAUUUUGGGCAAGGUCGACGGUGGCGCUGAUGCUGCCGCUGUGGGCGAUGAGCAGUUGGCGGGGACGUCGUCAUCUUCGUUGCCGCUACUGCUGCUGGUGGAGGUUGCCGUUGCAGCGACUCGGAGAGGUUUCUUUGCCUGCUGCAACUGUGCGGUGGUGCUGGUGCACGAUGGAUCCAAGGAUAGAUGUUGUGCCACGUGUCCGGCCUCAAUCCAAUUAGUUGCUCCCUCUUCCUCGCGCAUCGCACGUACAGGAGGGCACCAGCGCCGGCUAGGCGACCAGCGGGCUCCUUCGACCGCCGCCGCCAGAGAAGAGCGCCUUGUCGUCCGCGUGCGGCCGCCCCUCGCCGGAUGUCGUUCGCGUGCGGCCGCCCCUCGUCGGAUCUCGUUCGCAUGCGGCCGCCCCUUGCCGGAUCUCGUCCGCCUGCGGCCGCCCCUCGCCGGACUACUACCCCUCUGCCUCUUCCCAGAAUCCGCCACUUUGCCUCUCCCUGGAAUCCACCCCGGCCGCCCCUCGCCAGACAUUGCAGCGCUCGAGCCUCCCCAGCCAUGGCAGACUACACCCCACGGUGAUUUUUUGUUAGAACCGGUUGUAGCAAAUUCAAUCGCCGGUGGUAGCAAAAAUCUACUACUGUUGCAGCAAAAUGGCGUCAUCGUCAUCGCGAGCAAACACUAG
rnacentral:rRNA from 1 species